ensembl:lncRNA
CAAAUCUACCCCUAACCUAAAAAAGCCUCUGGUACUGCGUGUAAAACCACGUCUGAUCCCACACCCCAGAGGUCGGGACCCCUGGGUCAAUCGACCAGCAGGUCAGAGAAGGACUUACGGACGCUUGUGAUGUCAUAAAGUGAGAUGGAAGCUCGGUGUCUCCAUCCACGAGGAGUUGAGAAGGUGGAGCUGUUUCUGAGCCUCAGAUGGGUUCAACCCGUUCAACUCUGGAGUUCCUCUGGACGCUGGAGACGACUGCGUCUGUGCGGCGCUCCGCCAGGUUUGAGGUCCGGUUCUGGGCUCGGACGUGACGCUGGAGACGACUGCGUCUGUGCGGCGCUCCACCAGGUUUGAGGUCCGGUUCUGGGCUCGGACGUGACGCUGGAGACGACUGCGUCUGUGCGGCGCUCCGCCAGGUUUGAGGUCCGGUUCUGGGCUCGGACGUGACGCUGGAGACGACUGCGUCUGUGCGGCGCUCCACCAGGUUUGAGGUCCGGUUCUGGAGUCGGACGUGUCGCUGGAGACGACUGCGU